GCCCCAGCGGAGCACUCCGCUUAUGGAGGCAGGCAGUCCAAGCUGGCCGCCGCGAAGCCCCGCCCCGCUCCCGCUCGCUCCCUAACUUUAGAAUCCUCUCAAAGUAGCAGUAUUUUCGCAGUGACAUUGUAACUGGGGCUUGAGCCUCGCUUGCGCUCAACGGCCGCCGCCGCCAUGCUAGGCCCCCUGCUUCCGUUGUUGCUGCUGCUGCCGCCGCUGUGCCCGGCCGACCAGCCCCACGCCCAGGGUGCCCAGGGGUACCACAAUUACCGGGUGACUCUACGCAUUGCAGACGCCGAGCCCCUCAGAGACCUCCCCGCAUUCUGGUCCAGCACGGGCUUCAGCGCCCCCAGCGCGAGGGAGGCAGAGGCGUAUCUGUUAUCCGAGGAGAUGGAGUGGAACUUGGCGUACAUCGGGGCCUCGCCGCGCGCCGCCGUGCGCCUCGUGCGCGCGCACUGGCUGCUGCAGCUCGUCCGCGCCGCGCCAGAGAGCAUCAGCAGCAGCUCGAGGUCGCCAGGAUGGCGGUGGAACUUCAGCCUCCUGGACCGCUUUCUCGACCGGCUCGACCUCAACGGCCUCCGGCCGGGCUUCGAGAUCAUGGGCAACCCCCGGGUCGAGGGCGACGCCGAGACCUUGGGCGAGGCCAGGGCCGAGGCCGCGGCCACGAGUGGCGCCGCCGGCGCCCCGCCCGGCCAGGCUAAAGGCCAGGCGGGCCAGCCGCUCAUUACCAACAUUACCGACCAGGCACAGCUGUGGGCGAGGCUGGUGCGUGACACCAUCGUCCACUGCGGAGAGCGCUACGGCCCUGGAGCGGUCGCCCGCUGGCGCUUCGAGACGUGGAACGAGCCCGACCUCGCGAUGUACAACUCGUUCAACUGGACCGUGGACGGCUACAUGGCGUACUUCAACGCGACGGUGCGCGGCGUGCGCGAGGCCCAGGAGAUCCUGGGCGUGAAGCUGCGCCUCGGCGGUCCCGCCGGCAUCUUCAAGGCGCGCCGGCGACACCCCAUCUGCUGGCACGUCCUGGAGCACUGCGACCGGCUGGCGUCCCGCAACCUGAGCUGUGGCCUGGACUUCAUCACUUUCCACCGGAAGGGCAACUCGACGGCGCGGGGGGUCAGCUCGGGGACGAUGCGCCAGCUGCACCAGUUCAGCAGGAUGUUCCCACACCUUCGCGACCUCCCCUUCGCCAACGACGAGGCGGACCCGCUGACGGGCUGGUGGCGCGUCGAGCCCUGGCGCGCGGACAGGCGAUACGCCGGCAUGGUCGUGAACACCGUCGUGGACCUCCAGGAGCACUGGAGGAGCCGGGGCGGAGUAUCUCUGAAGAAUGGGCAUCGACAGCCGCCUCGCCUACCGCCCCUCGAGGUCCUGAGCAACGACAACGGCUUCCUGGAGACCACCCCGCGCCACUUCGAGCAGCGGACCUUGCUCUCCAGCUUUCGAGAUGCCGGUGACGGCGGUUCCGGCCGAGGCUCCCUCCAGUUGUUUCGGAAGUCGGUCCUGACGUCCAUGGCCAUGCUGUCGUUCGUGGAGGGCGCCCAGCUCGCGGUGCAGUCCGACAGCCAGCCCGCCCUGGACGCCCCGCUCCGCCUGGCCCCGCUGGCAUCGAUCGCCGCUGACCGCAGCGCGCUGAGCUUGCUGAUCGCCUUCACCAACGAGACGGCGCCCGCCGACGACUCGGUGGUCGCGGGUGUCCACCUCUCCGUCCCCACCGCCGCCGCCGCGGCCCUCGGCGUCGCAGCCGCCGCCGAUCCGCAGCAAGAAGGUAGAGAAGCCACCGAAGCCGCCGCCACUUCCUCCACGCCGCGCCGCUUGCGGGGCCCAAUCCUAGCUCGCGUCUCCUCCCUCGACGGGGACCCCAGCGCCGUCUGGCGCGCCGCGGGGUCGCCUCCCGCCCCGGACGGCGCUUUGCGCGACCGGAUGCGUCGCGCAGAGCUCCCGGGAGUGAAGCUCAUCCGCCAGUUCGCUGAGGGCGAAGGCGUCUCCCUCUCCUUCAACAUGACCCUCGGCUGCAUCGCGCUGGUCCAGAUCUUCUCUCCUCAACGCCAACCUCCGCUGAGGGUGCGGGGACUUCGCGCCAUGAACGUCAGCUAUAACGAGGUGUUUGUUCUUUGGGGCGAGGAGGUGUCUCAGAGUGGGCAGGUGAUUGGAUACGAGGUCAGCUUCCGGCAAAACUAUGAAGAUCCCUUCCGAGUGAUAAGCGCUCCAGCUGAGGUGGACGGCGGGCGCUGGCUGCUCUUCCCUUCCUUCCACUACGCCCCCGCCGCCCCCGCCGCCCCCAUUGGAUCCGCCCUCGGCGAGCAGACCAGAGGGCAGUACCGAGUGGCCGCCGUAGACGCGUGGGGUCGGGUGGGGCCCGCCGCCCUUCUACGGUACCCGACCCGCUCCGGCCCCAUCAGAUAGCGUCAGCCGCGAAGUUGGUCGGACAAAGUCAACGGAAAGUCGAUUUAAAAGAGAAACGAAGGAAGGGAGUGGUGCGGCUGAAGCUCGUGUAACACAGCUGGAGCGGAGGAGGUUGUCCCAUUCAAGGCAGGAUUGUUGGAUUCUCCCGCCACGAGUUUUAGUCAAAUGCCUCGCUACGGCUGAGGCCCGCAUCUACGAGUCUAGCCAAACUGUGCUGAGUCCAGAAACGCAUCCCACUACUACCCUCAUACUUUUAUGCAAAAAUGUCUAUCACUUUGUGGGUAGGAUUUUGGAGCAAGGAAACAGGUAAAAAUAAAAGCACAAAACUGUGAUGCAAAA